rnacentral:rRNA from 1 species
CCCUUAGAUGUUCUGGGCCGCACACGCGCUACACUGAAGGAGGCAGCGUGUACUCCUGGAUCGAAAGAUUUGGGUAACCCGCGAAUCUCCUUCGUGCUAGGGAUUGAGGUUUGCAAGUAUCCUUCAUGAACGAGGAAUUCCCAGUAAGUGCAAGUCAUAAGCUUGCGCUGACUACGUCCCUGCCCUUUGUACACACCGCCCGUCGCUACUACCGAUUGAAUGAUUUAGUGAGGACUUCGGACUGGGACCGAUGCGGCUUUCGGGCUGCGUCGGUAUUCUGGAAAGAUGUCCAAACUGUAUCAUUUAGAGGAAGUAAAAGUCGUAACA